rnacentral:rRNA from 1 species
UACGGAGGGGACUAGCGUUGUUCGGAAUUACUGGGCGUAAAGCGCACGUAGGCGGAUUUGUAAGUCAGGGGUGAAAUCCCGGGGCUCAACCUCGGAACUGCCUUUGAUACUGCAAAUCUCGAGUCCGGAAGAGGUGAGUGGAAUUCCUAGUGGUAGAGGUGAAAUUCGUAGAUAUUAGGAAGAACACCAGUGGCGAAGGCGGCUCACUGGUCCGGUACUGACGCUGAGGUACGAAAGCGUGGGGAGCAAACAGG